AUAUCUAUUUCCAAUUGCAAUUGUGAGUGCGUAAAUGAAAGCAAUAGAAAAGGGAGGAAAUUUUGGGCGUUUACAUGAGUAGAUAAGAAAGAGAUGGACAUGCAGGAAAUUUUUGAAAAUUCGGAAAUAUACAUACAGAUGAAUCUCUAUCAACAAAAUUUAAAGAAAGAAAGAAGUAAUCACACACAUAUUUGUGUAAAGAAGGAAUCAUAUUUGCGUUGAUGUACGUAGAAAUUUUAUAUUUUUAGAAUCGCUACAUCUAACAACAAAUUAUUUAUCUUCGAAGACUUCCACUGACGAUACAGCCAUCUUGAAUAAAAUCAUCAUUGAAACUGUCAUUUAUGAUUCAUGAAUAGAAAUGUUCAAGUAUUCACUUCCUAAUUAUUUUGCAGGAUUAAUUUUGCAAUAGUAAGCGAUACAUGCAUAGUAGCUGAUAUCGCAAGAGAUAAUAGCUGUCCAUGAUUCAAAGUAAUAACGUAAACACUCAACGAAGGGACAAAAUAAUAAAAACAAGAACAGGAUACAUGCAGUUACAAUGCCGCAUAUUUAAGAGGAUCGGCAUUAUGCGUCUGAAUGUUUUGUCUCUUAUCUUAUACUACGAUCUAUCCUAAGGAUAAGUUAAGAGCUUUCCGCUGAUGACCAUCAACGAAUCCGGUUAACAGUUGCAAAUUGUAUUGGACGACCUAGUCAUUAUCCUCACUGAAAAAAAAUAGUUUAAAUAUCGAUAUAAGAGCCUUAUGAAACUAUCAAGUUAAUAAAUUAUAACACAUUGUCGCU